UACAUUAUGGUGUAUGGCACAUAAAUUUUUGGAUUUUAAGGAAAAGGCUCGAUACCUUUUUUUGUAA
rnacentral:tRNA from 1 species